AAUCUUUUCUCUGAGUUAGUAAACCCCAUUUUGUCUCUCUACUGAUACUUUAACCAAUAUGCAGAAGUUCCACCAUUAUUUUAUUUUCCAGGUCCGUUCCCUGAUUCACUAAGAAUGCCUAUGCUUUCUCCUGUACCACCUGUCUAUUUUCAUCUUCCAGAUACCCAGUUGCACAAUAGAAUAGUGAACCAGAUAGAUUAUUAUUUCAGGUAGAUGCAUCUUUGUACUAUUUGCUUGUAAUUGCUCUUAUUUGCUAACUCCUUAAUUGUUUUCGUAUUCUGAACUCUUCUUGUCCCUAAAUUUGUUGCAGUAAUGAGAAUUUAAUUAAGGACAUAUUCUUGCGAGAGCAGAUGGAUGAACAGGGAUGGGUACCAGUUACGCUAAUAGCAGGAUUCAAGAAAGUGAGUUGUUUGGAGUGUUUUCUUGUCCCUUAGUUCUUGGCUUAUAUUUUCGUGUGUAUUAGUAGCUCAGUCUUUUGAAAAUGCAUCCCACGUAUUAAUUCAUGUUAUUGUUGGUAACUGUUAAUAAUGUUGGUGAGCCUGUUUAAUGGCCUUGGAUCCUUUUUUAUUGGUUAGAAAAUCCCAAAGAUAUCUUUUCCUUUAACAGGGAUAGAGAGAGGGGGAUUGACGACCGGUGAUGAUGUUUUUGUAUCUUAUCCUUUAGACUUUCCUUUUCUAUUUGUACAUUUUUCUGGUGCAAAUGGUGUGCCUUUUUGGUCUUCUGUAACAGCUUGUUUUCGAGCUUUUUAGGUUGUACUCAAGAUUUGGUGUCGGCAUAAUAGAAUUUUAGUAAAAGUAGGACAUAGUUGAACAUGAAAUCAGUGGAAAAGAGCCAGGCCUCUGUCUAUUUCUCUAAUCACUGUUAACUUUUCUCUCUUAAUAGUAUUACAAGAGGAAAAAAGAGUAGAAUUAGUGAGGACUAUAAACUCCUUCCUUUGGGAGGAAAUUUCUGCGUUGUCCGAACUAGUUGUGGUGGAACACUUGCAGAGUUGCAUGAUGUUGCCCUCUUUCUUCGGCAGGUUCAUGAUAUGACAGGUGGUUGUAAGCAAUUGAAUGGAUUGGAUCAUUCUAUGGUAUAACUUAUGUUAUGUGGUGCUUUAUCCAGAUGCUUUUUCAAAGUAUUAAUGUUCACUGUAUUAAUUUGGAGUUGAGGUCACUAAACUGAAUAGCUUAUUUAUCAUCAGCAGAAAUUCAUGUCAAAUAAAUGACUGUUUGCAUAUGAUGUUUGCUGGAUAUACCAAUGUUCUAUGUAUAUAGUACAGCUGGGCUAUUUUGAGUCAGUACCUGUUUGAUGGGAUGGUUAUGAGUGCAAUAUGUGAAUGCUCUCUGCUACAAGGUGAUCUGGACACAGUAGGUUGUAGGGUAGGACUGCUUUUGUUGAACUUUGUUGUCCAAGGGGUAUAACUUGAAAAUGUAAUUCCUUGAAAAUAUUGACAGCUGAAAAUCGUAUGAACUAUUAUGAAGGGUUGUCCUAAUAUGUGAGAAAAUAAGAGAAGUGAAGAGAUUUAAUGAGGAUUUGACGAAAAUGGAAAAUACAGGACACACUUAUUCAUUGGGGGAGAUGCAAUUCACAUCUUAUAUCUACACAAUGAGGGAUAAACUCAACACUAACUCAAAUAUUCUGACAUGCUAGUUCGCUGAACACUUGAUUUUCUAAGAUGGUAUAAAGGAUGAUGAUCUGUACCACAUUUUAGGGAGCUUGUACUUGACUGUAUGAUUUUGGUUCAAACCAGUGUUCUGUCUGUAUAAUAACCUUUUCUGUGAUAGCUCGGCCAUUUUUGCUGACACUCCCGUGACAUAUGUUGGAUAAUUAAUCUUUCGAGGUUGUGGUGAAGGCCCUUGGAGAAAUGUGUGAAUAUUUUUUGAGAUCAACCGUUCUUCAUUAUAUCCUAGUGCAGCAUUACUUGAUGAAUUCCUUUAGCCUUUUUCUUGUGAUAAUUUUGUUUGCUGUGAAAAACCUGCCUUACUUUUUGCCUGCCAAUUAUGUGUACAAUUACACACUACAAUCAAAUCUAUUUUUUAUGAAUUUCUGUACGAAUUGAGGUAUAGGUAUUUCAUGAAAGAAAUUUUGGUCAUAUAAGAAGUAGAAUUUGUGCUUGUGGAAAUUAUUGAGUACGGGAGAUACGAAAUUUCGUGAUUUUUUUUUGAAAAGGUAGCAUAAGAAAUUGUGUGAUUAAUGCGGUUCUAAAUGAAAUUAGUUGAACUUAAUAUAGAAUCCAAAAUAUAUUUCAUCUCGAUUUAUGGACUGUUCAUUUUUACAGGCAAUAAAAUACCUCAAAUUGUUUGUUUUAAGAUAAGAAUCGGAUUUCUAUUUUUGCAGGUAAUGGAGUUGACGGAUAAUAUACAACUGAUACUGAAUGUUGUGAGGUCCUCUACUGUUGUAGAAGUGCAGGUAUCCGUUCUAUUUCUAUAUAUUGUUUGUGGUCUUUUUAGGCUUUUAGUCUCUACUUUCUCUGUCUAAAAAGAAAGGUUCAAUAUGUGUUAAUUGAGUUUUUCGGUGAGUGCUUGUGUUGUAAAAGGAUGGAGCACUUUUUUAAAAUAUCAGAGAAUGUGAUCGUGGAAUCCUGUGUACACCUAGAGCCUGUUUCCCUCGUAAAUAGUUUUUAAGAAUUCAGUAGUCUUAUGCAUUGCCUAUCAUGUUCUUUGAAGUUGGUCAUGCUAGAAACAAAAUAAUGGUUUGCAAUUCAUCCUUGUUAAUGUGUUUUAGGUUCACAGUUGUGCUGUUUGAUUUAUUUAAUGAUUUGCUGAUGUCUUCUAAGCUGAUUGAGAUUGUUUAAUGCUUCAGAAUUAGGAAAUUGCUUUAUGUCCUUAUCCUAACCAUGAAAAUACUUGGGUAGUAUUUGCAUUUACACUCUUUCAUGGGCCUAUUUUGUUGUCUAGUGCUUUCAAUUAUAGUUAGGUGACAUUCUUUUUGGGAUGGACUGAAAGGAAAGGGUGUCAUAGAAAAUGGGAUGGAAGGAGUAUUAGAGUAUGUUUGGACUGAAUCAAAAGUUGGUCAAACCUACUUUUGAGUCAUUUUUAGCUCUUGGGAGUGUUUGACAAAUUUAAAUAACUUCAAAUAAGUUAAAUGUCAAAAGUAGGAUUCUCCCUACUUUUUAUUUUUUUGAUUUAAUUAUAAGCCAUUGAAGUUUUAACUUCAAAAAGUUGUUUCUUAAAAGCUGCUUUUCAAGCCAAUCCAAAUGGGCUUUAAGCGUAGUGUUUAUACUAAAAUUAGAAAAUACAUGAUGGUAUUUGUCUCUCAACUGUUAUGGGUCUUAAAUUUUUUUUUUCCUUGUGUCGCAGGGUGAAAAGUUAAGGCGGAGAAAUGACUGGUCUCAUUGGCUGAUACCAGCAUCAGUACAUAAUUCAACCAUGUCAAGUCCUCAAUCUCCUCAAAUGCCUAGUCCUGAUUUGCUUGCAGAAAAUCUCCAACGUGUUGUAUUUGAUUAUAAGACUACAGGACAUGGAAACACUGAAGCACAUCUUAGUAGAUCAUCAUCUACUGCAUUAAGUAGUCCAUUUCUGCAGUUUGACAAUGAGAUGGUUGAACAAGCUGAUGCUCAGCAUUCACAGCCAAUGCCACUUGGAAACCCAAGUUAAAGAGUUAACUAUUCUGGAGUGAAGAGAUAGCUGUUGUGCUUCGUCAAGCUAUCGAUGAGUUUAGUCUAUAGUGUUGGUGGUGGCUAUAUGACAUCUCAUGAAGGAAAUGGACAGGGAAUAAAAGGGGAACAAACAGAAUUGACAAUAGAAUUAUAAUUUCUUUAAGCAUGCUUGUAGCUUGAUUUUGUUGGGGUGUAUAUUUUGUUUUGUUGGGGACACAAGUAUUUUCUUUUCCUUAUGUUAUGUUGUUCUGUCAUGGUUAUCUAUUAUACAGGCAUGGGCAAUUUUGGUUCUACUUCCCCAUGCAGCCCCUCAGCUUCAUCUCCUUGAGCCAAAAUCCUUGGGGCAUUUAUCUUUUGAAGUAGAGGCUUACUGAAAGGUAUGGAGUUGCUGGCUUCUGAUCUUUUGUGCUGGCUCUGAGCACUUGGUUACCUUGUUAUUGUCUCUGUUUGUUCCAAAGAUAGCACCAUUGACUCUUUUAUAUUUAUGUAUACAUAUUUAUACCUUCUCAAAAAGUGGCAUUUGUUGCCCUUGCAGCACUUAUUUAUGCUUGGUUGUGAUUUACUUAUUUUUAUUACAAACGCAACUAUAUGGAUUUGAAUGCAAUGGGGUCACCAAUAUGUUUAGUAUAUGUCAAAUGUAGAACAAGUCAAGUACUACAACAAAGCUCGCCAUACUUGAGGUUCCAACUGCUUAUCACUCAUUUAUCCUAAUGUACAGAAGUAUAUCAUCAACGAUACUAGCGUAAUUCAUUUUUGACGACUUAAUAGAUGGAGAUGUUCAUGUGAUUCAUCUCUGAUUAUAUAAUGGACGGAGAUGUUCUUUCUACAGACUCAACUUUGCAAGUAAAUAACCAAGUGCCACAAGAUUUGUCAAUUUUCUUGAUCAGAACUAAUUCAAUCUCGUCUGAAGCCAAGCCAUUAUCUUUAGCCACCAUUAUGUGCUCAUGUGGGUCUGUAGUGGCAUCAUACUCAGCCAUUCUGAGAUCAAUGUCAGCGCGACGAUGGGAUGUACUACUUCAAAUCGGGGACAUUCUAGCAUGGAAGUCUUUCACAUAUUUAAAAAAUUUAGCCUUGAAACAUUGUAGGUGAUCUAUUUAUAAGUUAUUGCACCUUGAUCUUUCAAAUAAUUUUAUUCCCCCUUAAAACUACAUACUUAACUACCAUAUUUAUAAUCUUUUACCAGUUUAAAAAUAGUAUCACUUGUUAAAAGUUAAGUCAGAUAUACAGAUCUCUUAAAUAUGAUAUUGGAUAAUUAUCUUAAAAUUUGAACUCCUUAAUUAUAGGUACAUUAACAAUUCAAAUUCUCAUCUUCCAGUCGUAGUCUUCCUCCCUUCUCUCCACCCACGUCCUCCACCACCAUUAUUGGUCUUCCUGCCUUCUCUCUAACCACGUUCUCCACCAUCAUUAUUGGUCCUCCAUUGUGCUAGAAUGACUACACCCACAAAUGCACAAUUCGAGCAAUAAGAUGGUUCAAGCAAAAUUGUAAAAAUAAUACUUUAAUCAUUCAAUUGUGUUUUUACCUUCAACCGUAGACGGCAAAAUGUGAUUGUGAGGUAUGUGUAUAUUAUUCAUCUAUUAUUUAAGCCGCAGAUCUUGUAUAUGAACUUCUGUAUAUGAUUUUUGAUAUGUAUUUAAUGUUCAAUUUUGACGUAUCUCAAUUUUGUAUCUUGAUGCAUAAUGUGUAUAUGAUCUUUGAAAAUGCAUGUAUGUUUUUUAGAUAUGAUUUUUUUACAUAUUUGGAAGCCACCCGUGCCCCCAAGGCUGCCCCCCACGACCUUGAGGCAGCCCAUGCCCGAGGCCACCCUCGCCCCAGCCCCGAAGCCGACCCCUUUACAAAGACUCGAGGCCGACCUCCCGCCUCCAAGGGCUCUCGAGGUCGGCCCCGCCUCCGAGGACCCUCGAGGCCUCUUUACCCUACCCUCAAGGCCUCGUGCUGUAAGGCUCCAUCCUCAAGGUAUCGCGCCACGAGGCCUUAUCACCCCACCCCUACCUUGAGGCAUCGCGCCCCGAGGCCCCCUCCCCUAUCUCGAGGCAUCACACCCUAGGGCCCCACCCCAACCUCCAGGUGUCGCGCCCCUAAUUCCCCCGUCCCAACCUCCAAGUGUCGCGCUCCCAGGUCCUCUUUGCCCCAACCUCGAGGCGUCGCCCCCUUCUCCCCCUCUAGGCCUCCAGGUCCCCCUCGCGCCGGCCUCCAGGCAUUGCGCCCAAGGCCACCACUUCCCCAAUGUCCAGGCGCGCACCCCAAGCCCUUCCUACCCUAUCAUCAAGGCGUCGCCCCCUGAGGCCUCCUCCAAGCCUCGAGGCGCCGCACCUCAAGGUACCCCCCAGAGCCUCGAGAUGUUGCACCCCAAGCCCCCCACCCUUGGCUAGAGGCAUCUUGCCCCGAGGCCCUCUUACUCCAAACCUUGAGGUGUCUCGCCCUGAGGAUUCCCCAGCCUCGAGGCAUCGCACCCCGAGGCCCCCAUCCCAUAAGCCUCGAGUGUCGCAUCUCCAAGCCCCCAUACCCCCACCCUCGAGCCCCCAGGCCCCACAAUCCCGGUCUCGAGGCGUCGCGCCACUUUUUCUAUUACGCUAUAGCGACUAACCAGUGUAAUUCAAGUCAAAAAGUGUGGGAGGUGGGACUCAUCAUUUUAUUUUAUUUUUAUUUAUUUAUUAAAAACAUUUCUUUUUAUCUUAUUGAGCUAUAUGUUCUAAAAAAUUAGAUGUCUUAUAAUUAGUAAUCAACUAAACAUGUUAUCAAAUCAUGAUUUGACAUAGAAGUAUUCACUCAAUGUUAGAGUAAAGAUGAUGUUACCAACUUGUCACGACCCAACUUCUCGAGCCAUGAAGGCACCUACUAUAAUCCACCAGUAGGUAAGCCAAACCGUAACCCAGAACAACACGUAAUAGGUGCGAGGGUAGAAACUAAACAAGACUAAGAAAAAUUACUAUAACAACAUAAGCAAACCAAAACAUAAAUACAAUUAAGGAUCCCUUUCAAAGCCUGGAACUCACUAAUACAGAGCUACCAACAAAACGAGUACAAGUCCCAACAGUGGACCACCGAAACUAGACUGUCUCGAAAAGUAAAAGACAAGUCUUUAUAUAAAUAGAUGGAGACUGAAAUAGUACAAAACGCUGUGUGCUCACCCCUGUCUCCAGAUCGGAAAUGCUCCAAACUCGAUCAACGCUGACUACUGGUGCUCGGACAUGCAUCACGAAAAUAGAUGCAGAGCGUAGCAUGAAUACCAAAUAACAGGUACCCAGUAGGCAUCAUAGGCCGACUGAACUAGAAAAGUAAAGCAAUAUGAAAAGACGGAAUCACAAAACUAGAGGUCAAGAACGGAAGGCUAAGUAACACUGUAAUGCACACGAGUGUAUAAAUAUCUAACUAAAUUAAUACAAAUAAGUUAACUACACCUAACUGGAGCCACCAUAAGUCCAGAAGGUACACUCAUGCGCAAGUUUAAAUAAAAACCCGAACGGACCCCCAUAAGCCCGACGAGUACACAAAAUAACUAUAACUUAAGGAGAAUAGAACUCGAGGCCAAAGAACACCGAACCAAAAAGUAGAAUCUGACGGUACGGAGGUCAGGCCUUGAACCGGAUGCUCACCAGAAUUACACAAGUAGCCAAUUUCAAAAUAUAAGUAAAUGAGGUCAGACCUCUAACCAGAUGCUCUACAUACUUGAGACCGGACCUCUAACCGGAUGCUCUAUAUAAGUAUGUGGAUGGUCGAGACCGGACCUUAAAUUCGAAUACCCGACAAAGAUGUCAAAUAGCUGUUGAAAGAGUCUUUAUCUAUCCAUAAUCAUAUAUACCCGUGGAACACCAUCCAUACUUAGCUAAUCAAUGUAAAUCUUUAAAGCCGAAUCGAAACUCAACUUUGAAUCACGGAGCAGAAUUCAUUGUCAUUGACGUAACUCGAGAAGCUGUAACAUCGAAGAAAUAAGAGUAACUAUCGCUGGAGCGAGCUCAUCGUCUAGAUAAAUACCAAACUAUCAGACUCAAGUUUGCUACAUCAGUCUACAAGGAUUUAAGCCGACUGAGCGACGUCGAGGCUAAACUAAGUCAUACCGACUUUGAAUCAUGCAUUUCUAAGGAAAACCCUAGUCAAACCUAAACUAAGGCCCAACAUACUUCUGAUAACCAGUAUUCAAACAUACAAGUAAUCCAUAUAGCAAAGAAGGUCAAUUAGUAACAAUAAACAUGCUCACAAUUACCCGAUAAUUCUCAGAAAAAGGCCGAAAAUAUGAUUUUUAACACCUAUGCAUGAUCCAAUAACUAACCAACCCAAAUCCCAACUAAUUAACAUGCAUUCACAUGUUCGAGUUCAAUCUAAGAAGAGAAACCGUAGCCUACCUGAACGCAGAUCACGCGCGCUCCAAAAUUCACUUCCCCGGAUCUUUUACUUUCUAAAAGGCCUCGAAAUAUUGAUACACUAUCAAAAAUAGAGUCACAACGUUAUUACGGUCAUUUAAACACUAAAAUCGCAAGAAACGGAGACGGGUCAAUUUUGCGGUCAAAAUGGAAAAAGUGGGAUUUGCGUUGAGAAAUUCAGAAUUAACCCCAAAUAAAAGUCCUAAACAACUCUCGGAACUUGUGAACCAGAAUGGAACACAAUUCAGGACUCAAGACAGUCCCAACAUGAACAUGCAACAAAAAACUCAAAUUCUACGCUAAAAAUCAGUAACAAUGGCAGCAGCUACUUACAAGAAUUUACCAAAAAUGAAGGUCCAACAGCCAAAACCAAUCACACCACGAUGAUCCUCAUGAAAAAUCUCACAAUAUAGGCUCUUGAAUCACUAGAUUCGGACCUAAAAUGGCCAAGAAAUCACCUUCUAAAAGUUUCCCAAAAGUUGAGCUCGAAAAUGAGCUAUAACAGCUGUUAAAACACAAAAUUUACCUCAAAUCGGGUACCCAAAUCAGAUUCCAAGCUCACCAAUGCGUUGCCCUCGAAAAAUCUCACAACUUAGCCUUUUGAAUCGCCCAAUUUGGAGUUCUAUUGCUCAAAAUAUCAAAAUUUUAAAGUAAAACACAAAGGCUGAAAAUUGGGUUUUUAUAAGGACGAAGCUGGUCGCUAAUAAACCCAAAAAUCUGGUCAUUAAAACCCCAAAUUCUGGUUGUUAAAGGGCUGCACCAGAUUUCAGCUUUGUGUAAUUUCUUUAAAGUCUCCGACGGGUGCUCGAAAUCCGUUCGAAACCUGAUAAAAAUAAAACAGAUAUGCUACCCUACCAAAGUUGACAUUCCCGACUCAAUGGCGCAGUCGAAAUUUCCAUCAGAGGUCAUCUCGAUUAAAAGUUCAAGAAGAUGACAUCAGAAUCCAAUUCUGACGAUUCCAUCAGUUUCGAAAGGGUCAUUUUAGGCUAGUAGCAUUGUCGACAUGACUCUCAAAGUUUUUAGUGUGAGUUGGUGUGAUUAGGAGUUUUAACUUUAAGUUAAAGGCUAAGUUUGACUUUAGUCAACAUUCUGAGUAAAUGCACUCGGAUGAGAAUUUCGUCAGAGCGGCUAGCUCCGGAAUGUUGAGUUUGGUCUAGUUUGACCCUUCUUUCAGAUUUUGAGGUUUUUGAUAUUUUUCCGAGCCCUUUUGUGAUUUUUGACUUAAAAUGGUCAAUGAAAGUGGGAUUGAUAAUAAAAUAUACAAAUUAGAAUAUAAAUAUUGGAUACCUAACAUGAAAAUAAAAAGAUUGAUAAUUAUAUUUACAAUUACUAGUGCUCGAACUUCACCAAUUUUAAUCAAAAAGUUUAAUAACAAAUACUUCAAAAGUUUUCAAAAUAAAAACUGAUUUAAUAGUAAUUCAUAACAAAGUAGAUAAUGAAUAUAUGUUGAAUAAUUUUUUUGUACUAAAAUAUCCUUCAUGUAUAAUUAUUGCCUAUGAUUUAAUUUAUUCUUCUUUCUGUUGUUAUUUUAUAACAUCUUAAAAUAGAUUCAGCACCAAGACCAAUCGUGAUAUAUGAACCUGAGAGUUGAUUGCUUUCUAUAGAAAAUGUUCAGUUGCUUAGAAAUAAUACUUGAAGUUAUAUAUGCAUAUAGCUGGAUUCAUCGAUUUAAAAUAUCCAUAAAACAGAUUAUAAAAAUCUGCUAGCAAAUGUUAAAUAGCUUACACACAGUUGAGUACAUCGAUGCAUACCUAUAUAUGAUUAGCUGAGUUGAGCUGUUUUUCUUUUUGCUCUUAUAAGAAAAAUUACUUUUAAUUUUUUAAUCAAUCAUUUGCUUGUUUGUUCUAGCACUGGUUAAUUUAGUUGAACUUAAACAAAUUGAACUGGAAUCGCCUAUCUAUGUAUGAUGCUAUGACUCGGAAAGGGUCAUAACAUCAUACACAACCCCUUUAGCUCAAUCUCAAAAUUUUAUUUUGGCACUUCAAUUCAACUUAGUUUUGUUCUAUUUUAACCCUCCAACUCAGAUAGAUUACUAAUACAAGUUUAUAAUAUAAAGGCAUAAUAUAUGCACUUAGACUUUGAGAGCAUACAAGUAGACACUUAAACUUGUAUAAAAUUAAAUAAGUAGGCACACAUGUUUUACGUGACAUAAUACACGUAAUACGUCACAUUAGAUGAAUGUGUUCAUUUCUUUAAUUUUAUACAAGUUUAAGGAUCUAUUUAUGCACCUCCAAUGUUGAAGGGUAUAUAUGCUGACUAAGGCAAGUUGAAAGACACAAUUACAUCAAAAGAAAAUAAAUGGAUAGAUAAAGUAGAUAUGAAGGAAAAAAUGGGGUUGAAGAGAAAAUAAAUAGAGGAGAAGGUUAUUAACAAUAAAAUAUUGAUUACUAACGCUAAAAAGGAUGCCUCAAACAUUUUUAAAUGUGAAUAAUUUUAUUAAUAUAUGCAGUUAGUAUUUUGUGUUUAAAUGAUAAAUUGGAAAUGAAGUGGGAGGGUUAAAAUGAAAAUAAAGUUGAGUUGAAUUGUCAAAAUAAAAUUUAGGGACAAGUUAAAAAGGCUAUGUAUUUGUCUGACCUUCGACUAGUCUAGGAUAGUCUUGCUAGAAGAUGCGCUUGAUCAAGACAAGACAGCGAAUGUUGAUUACAACUUUGUUAGAAAUUGGAUGGUAAUAAAGAGAUAAUGCAACUGAAAUUUUCUCAAAAAAAAAAAAAAAAGAGUGUUAUGAAACUGUAUAAAUUUACAAAAAGAAUAAAGUAAGGAGAAGAGAAAAACCUUCUUAUUCAUCUUAAAGUAUAUUCAGAAAUCAUAGAUCUUCUUUACAAUGAACGAAAAUCCUUUAUUUAUAGGGAAAAUCUGACUUGGUUCCCAAGUAGGAUUUCUAACCAUAUCCUAAAAGGACUCAAUAUAUUUAGACAUUUACUAUAACACAAAUAUGUUUAUAACACUCCCCCUUGAGUGUCGGUAGAUUAUGUGCAUCGUUAAAACCUUAUUAGAUAAAAUCAGUGAGAAAAAAAUUUAGUGAAGAAAAAGAGUACACAUAUCUAAAAAUACGAUUUAUGAAUGUCUCAUUAAAAACCUUACAAGGAAAACCCGAUGGAACAAAACCUUGUGAGGAAAAAAUAGUACAUCACAUAUUAACUUCCCCUAAUGAGAACGUCAAUCCAAAAACUUGAAUCUUCGUUCUCCAAGCUUGUGCACCAUCUUCUUGAAAGUUGUAGUUGGUAGAGACUUGGUGAAUAAAUCUAAUAAAAUAUUAUUUGAACAAACUUGUUGUAUGUUGAUAUCGUCAUUCUCGGGAGCUCAUGAGUGUAAAAAUACUUUGACGAAUUAUGCUUCCUUCUAUCUCCGUUUAUGAAUCUUUUUUUCAUAAUCAAAGAUUUCUGCAAGUUCCUUACUUCAACUUCUUUAAGCGAAGAGUUUCAAUUCUAGUCAUCAACUUGCAUAACAAUACUUGUAUGUACUUUAUGCAUUUUAAAUCAAUUUGUCCUUAUGAAGACUAUAAAUAAGUUCUCAAAAACUUGUAUAUGCUUUAGAUAUUGAACCCAUUGGAUACUUUUAUAUCAAUUUUGUCAAGUGACAACAUUCAAUAUCAGAUGUAUGACAUUUUCUAGUGCCUAGAUUGCAAGUUAAAUAAACUUUGCGCUUACCAAGAUGCAUCAUUCCACUUUUCACUUGAUAAUUAUUUCUACAUCAACAUGCUUUAAUUGAUGUAGAAUUCAUAUCCUCGUAGUUUUUUACAAUAUUCCGCGCUAUUGUAUCAAAUAUAUCGUCAACGAUAUACCAUUUUAUAUCGAUUCACAAUAUGACAUAACUUAUUGAGAUCUCAUCACUUCAUUAUUUUUAGGUACAUACCCCUCUCAUAAGGUUUCAUGAACUGUAAUGUCGUAAGCUCUUCAUGCAUGUUAUAGAAUAUAUCCUUAAGGACAUUCAAUAGGAGUAUUUACAACUCUUGUGUUGCUUCUAAUCUCCUCCUUAUGUUAGACAAAAUAACAUAUAUUUCAAUCUUUUGAAAAAUCUAUUCUUGUGCAUCAUUGUAUAUUCAUUGAUUAUAUACUGCAUAUCAAAAUAAUUAGAUGAAAAAUAUGUGGUCCUGAACCAUAAAUCAAUUGAAAUAAAAUUUAUUCAUAAUUUAUUGGUCUGAUGCAUACAAUUACUUUUGUAUGUGUGAUAUUUCAGAUCAGUACAUGGAGCUUUAUUUUCACAAGCAAUGAUUUCAUAUUCUGAAAGUUAUGCUCUUAACUCAAUUAAACUGCAAGUUGACAACAAACGCACAUGUGAUUAUAUUAUAAAUGUAUCUCUUUAUCAUAUCACAUGAUAGGUGAACAGAUUCAUAUUUACCUUUUAUACUUUUCAGAAUUUGGGAAUUUGGUUCCAACUUUAGUUAAUCCAAUUAACUUAUCACUAGAACAAGCAACAUAGAGAAUUCUUAAAUAAUCUUUUAGUUCUUCAAUGUAUCUCUAUUACUCAGUAUGCACAUCUUUGAGAUGAUCAAAUUAUUCAUGCCAACUAAUUAAUUUUAUAAUACUACAUUUCAAAGGAUGUCAACAAUUAUUUUUAUAAUACACGAAAUGAGGACAAAAGUUUGUUGUAUUCAAUGUGGGAAACAUCGAAUUGAUUGAGUUCAAACAUUUGAACAAUGGACUUAUGAUUUUCUUUCCUUUUAUGUGUUGUAUUGAUAAUUAUAUAUCGAUAGAUUAAGAAUAUCAACUCGAUGAGUUUAAACUUUAGCAGUGAAUGGUUUUUUUCUGCAAAUUAUGAGUUUAGAAAUAAUAGUUGUUGAUAUUUUGUCAAAAUACAUCAGUCCCUUUGAAUGAUUCUUUUCAAAAAUAUAUAAAUUGAUAGCGAAACAAUGUCAUCAAACAUUUGUCUCUUUCAAUGAUUAUUUCCAUUUGUAUUUUUUUGCUAUAAUGUUUUUUUAUUUAUUUGACUUUAUAUAUGUUAAUACAAACUGAAUCAUAAGAAAAUCCUAAUAUAUUUUAUCAAAAGCAUUUCAGUACAAUAAGAGUUUUUAAAGAGAAAGUUAAAAUUUAUUUUGAAUAAUAUACAACAUUUUUCUCUUAUUGCUAAAGCAAUAAAUAUGUAAAAUAUAAUGUCAUUAAAAAGUUCCACAAUCAACACCAGUUUUCACAGGCUAUUUUCUAAAAAAAUUUGAGAAAAUUUAACCAAUUCAUGCUGCAAAAGGAACGAUCACAUAAGGUUAGUAAGCAAUUAAUUAGAGCAUUUUAUAAAUGAAUAUUUGAUGAUAUGAUUAAAAUUAAUCUCUUCAUUCAAUUGGUAAUCCUCCUCACAAUACUUAAUGAGAAGUUUCAUUUGUUCUUCUUCAAGAGUAAGUUGAUUUUCCAGUCAAUAAAUUCGCAACUUUAUAUUUUAAAUCAAGUAUUUUUCUUUUGAGAUCAAACACCUCGGUUACUUUCUAGAUCAUCUCAUUAAAAAUCGAAAAUACCAUAUAAACAUAUUGAAACUUAUUUUUUUAAUAUAAAAAAGAAGAGAAAUGUCAAAAACUAAAAAUGAUAUCUAUUAAAAGCUCACUUGGUAAAAUCUAAUUUUGCGAAGCCAUUUGAGAAAGGAAAUUUAAAGCAAUUAAAAAAAGAAGAAGCUCAACUUAUUUUAGUUUGCUUCUCACAAGAGGGGAAAACCCUUCAAAUAAAUCGUUUUCAUAUUGUUCUUACCAAUAUAAUAUUUUGAAUACAUAUUGUAAUAGAAAGUUAAUAAAUUUUGAAAGAUUUUCAUAAUUUAGAAAAUGGUAAGAAAUUUAUUGAGAUGAAUUGAAUUGAGUUUGUCCUAAAAAGGCACUUGAUCUUAGAUGAUAAUUAACAAGUAAUUAAAUUAUUUAAAAGUAUUAAAUUACAUAUUUAAAAUUUAUAUCUAAUAAUUGCUUUCCUAAAGAAGGGUAACCAUAUAAAUAUUAUGAGUGUGUGUUCUUUAUGAAUCCAAGUAAUACGGCUAAUAAAAAUGGGUUGACUAAAUCAUCAACAUAAGAGUUCUAAUUAGGCAAUUAGUUAAGAAAUUUUGUACCAAAUAUGCAAUUACUGCAAAUUAACGUUUUCCUAUAAUAUAUCAUCACAACAAAAAAUUCUUACAUUCUCCUUAGUUGAACUAGAGAAAGUUAUUAUAAUUAAUUAAUACCCUUAAUUACGAGGCAAUGUUUUGAAUAACAUUUGGUCCGAACUUUUGUUAGUCACUAUUAAUUUAAUGAGUUCAAAGGGUAAGAAAAUAUACCUAAUUAUUUCAAUUUUCUUUUGAGUUUCAUUGUGGGAGCGUGUGUUUUCUAUCAGUUUGAAUUGACUUAAAAAAAUUUUAAGUCAAAAAAAUAAAAAGUAGGAGAGAACUGCUUUUGAUUUUUUAAUUUUUAUUUAAAGUCAUUUUAAACUUAUUUUUAAUCUUGCCAAACACUUUCAAAAGCUAAAAAUGACUUAAAAACGUAGAUUAAAUCAAUUUUUAAGUCAAUCCAAACAGGCCCUAAGUUGAUGUUAUCGUUCAUAAUGUACCACAUACAUUCAUGUAAAAGCUAUUUAACACAACGUACACUUCUAAUACGUCAAUAAUAAUGCACAUACUCGUGGCAAGACUGCUUUACAAAUGUAGAGAGAAUGCGAUAACUUACACAUGCAAUGAGUAUAUAUAUCUAUAUAUGGAUGAAUAGAAAAAUUACUUCUACUUAGAUUUAAAAAUAAUUAACUAAAUACUUUUUCAAAAUAGGUAUUUGCCAAACAAGCCCGUCCUUGCCAAAAGACUAGGGUAGUUGGUAAAUUUAUAUUCUGAAUCAACAACAAAUGUGAGUUGGGUUUUUCACCAGUGCUUAGCAAAGAAGAAAACAGAGAGAGAUACAGAGACGGCUUCUCUCUCUCGACUGAUCGGCCAAACCAUCGUUAGUUGCUUUGUUUAUACUCUCUUCUAACCUUUUACUUUCCGUUUUCCGAUUUCUUUCAUGUCAUUCUAAUGCUUAAUCAGUAGAAAAUUUUGAUCCAUUCGAUAGAUGUAUUGUUUAUUGUCAAUCAGUGGAUUUCAAGUAUAGAUACACUGGUUCGAGAUUAAUUAGGGUUAUCACUUUUGAAAUUUUUUGAUUCCGAUAACAAACCCUAGUUUUAAUGGCUACAUCUACUAUUAACCAUCAUUCUCACUGGAAUGCUGCCGCUGACACUGCUCCACAGCAGUCUAGCCGACCAGAAGAAGCCGCGCGUGGUGUUUACUCGCCCUGGGCUCAGAUUGGUCAAUCGGAAUCCAAUAUACAAGUAGUUCACUUCUCUGAUUGUUCGCUUUCUGAACAAGUGGACGGUUGUGCGUUUGAGAGUGACACUAAUAGCAAUGGGGCUAAAAAGACAGUUUGGAAUAAGCCCUCAAAUGGUACAGCUGAUGUUAGUCCUGUUAUGGGUGCUAUCUCUUGGCCUGCUCUCUCUGACUCCACCAAGGCUUCAUUUAAAUCGUCUUCUGAUUCACCCAGAACACUGCCCGAUGGAUCAGUUUCUGAAACACAGGUUAUUCCCACUUUCCUCAAUGCUAUGAUUUUUGGAACUGAGAAUUAAUAUACCUGAUGUUAACUACCUUAGGAUUCAAGAACACUAAUUGCUGUUGUUUUUGCUCUAUGCACAUGCUAGAGCAACAUAACUAUGAAUUAAUUGUUCCACCAGCUCAUUUAUAUGUAAAUGUGUGGAUCUUACAGGUCACUGGGAUGGUAGCAGCUUCUCACAGGCAAGCUAAUACUAACAAUGCAAACCCUAAUACAAUGCUGAACCAUGUUGUACCCAGCCGCCAAAGGUCUAUGAAGCGCGGUGGUGGUAACUCAAACCAUAAUAUAUCAGCAAAUGGUGUCUUCUCUCAGCAACAGGCACAUGGUUUUGAGGUGGAAACAGUCCUUAAUAAUUCUGGGAAGUCAGCUAAUUAUGGUGCUGAGUUUUCUUCGAGGGAUAACAAUCGUAGAGAUGGUGGACACUGGGGGGGAUUUGGAGCUCAAUCACAUGGUGGAAAUGACCACCAACAUCAACGAAAUGCAAAUAGGAGAGGCAAUUUUGGUCCACACCCCCGUGGAGAUGGCAUGUAUCAUAAUGGUCAUGGGGGUAGGCGUGAUCAGGAACGGCAACCCCACAGAGGUUGGGGGAAUAGGGAUGCACACAUGCAGCCGCAGAGAGGUCCAGCUAGGCCAUUCAUGGGGGCCCCACCUCAUACAUCUCCACCUUAUAUACCUGGACCCAUGCCUGUACAGCCCUAUCAACCUCCCAUGGUUUACUCUGGUGAGAUGUCUUACUUCUCGAGAUCUUUCUUUUUGAGUUACUAAACCCCAUUUUGUGUCUCUACUGAUACUUAAACCAAUAUGCAGAAGUUCCACCUGUAUUUUAUUUUCCAGGUCCAUUCCCUGAUCCACUCAGAAUGCCUAUGCUUUCUCCUGUGCCGCCUGUCUUCGUUCAUGUACCAGAUACCCAGUUGCAAACUAGAAUAGUGAACCAGAUGGAUUAUUAUUUCAGGUAGAU
rnacentral:lncRNA from 1 species